UACGAAGGGGGCUAGCGUUGCUCGGAAUCACUGGGCGUAAAGCGCACGUAGGCGGCUUGUUAAGUCAGGGGUGAAAUCCUGGAGCUCAACUCCAGAACUGCCUUUGAUACUGGCGAGCUUGAGUUCGGGAGAGGUGAGUGGAACUGCGAGUGUAGAGGUGAAAUUCGUAGAUAUUCGCAAGAACACCAGUGGCGAAGGCGAGC
rnacentral:rRNA from 1 species